rnacentral:misc_RNA from 1 species
UUUCCGUAGGUGAACCUGCGGAAGGAUCAUUACAAUUUUGGUACAUCGAGUCGCCCUUCGGGGCGGCUCCGGUGUUACCAAUCGAGAUACCAACCCAUGUCUUUUGAGCACCUCACGUUUCCUCGGCAGGCUUGCCUGCCAAUGGGGACCCCUUUAAAACCUUUUUGUGUAUGCAGUAAACGUCUACAAACAAAUUAAAUCAAAACUUUCAACAACGGAUCUCUUGGUUCUGGCAUCGAUGAAGAACGCAGC